GGGGGGGGGGGGGGGGGGGCCGGGGGGGGGGGGGUCGGGGGAGCGGGCGGGGGGGGGGGGGGUGGGGUGUGAGCGGCGGGCGGGGGAGGAACAGGUGGGUGACGUGCCGCUCAGAGGGGGAUAACUUCGGGAAGCCGGAGCGCAUACCGGAUAAUAGUGUGAAACGCACGGUUCAAAAGUGACAGACGGUGUUGCUGUCACUUAUCGAUAGAUCCGCGCUUCAUUAGCUAGUGUGUAAGGUAACGGCGUACCAAGGCAACGAUGCAUAGCCGACCUGAGCGGGUGAUCCGCCACCCUGGAACUGAGACACGGUCCAGACUCCUACGGGAGGCAGCAGUAGGGAAUCUUCCGCAAAGUGCGAAAGCCUGACGGAGCAACGCCGCGUGAGUGAUGAAGGUCUUCGGAUCGUAAAACUCUGUUAUUAGGGAAGAACAUAUGUGUAAGUAACUGUGCACAUCUUGACGGUACCUAAUCAGAAAGCCACGGCUAACUACGUG
rnacentral:rRNA from 1 species